rnacentral:rRNA from 1 species
UAGGGAAUCUUCGGCAAUGGGGGGAACCCUGACCGAGCAACGCCGCGUGAGUGAAGAAGGUUUUCGGAUCGUAAAGCUCUGUUGUUAAGGAAGAACGAGUGUGAGAAUGGAAAGUUCAUACUGUGACGGUACUUAACCAGAAAGGGACGGCUAACUACGUGCCAGCAGCCGCGGUAAUACGUAGGUCCCGAGCGUUGUCCGGAUUUAUUGGGCGUAAAGCGAGCGCAGGCGGUUAGAUAAGUCUGAAGUUAAAGGCAGUGGCUCAACCAUUGUAGGCUUUGGAAACUGUUUAACUUGAGUGCAGAAGGGGAGAGUGGAAUUCCAUGUGUAGCGGUGAAAUGCGUAAAUAUAUGGAGGAACACCGGUGGCGAAAGCGGCUCUCUGGUCUGUAACUGACGCUGAGGCUCGAAAGCGUGGGGAGCGAACAGG